rnacentral:rRNA from 1 species
UACGUAGGUGGCAAGCGUUUGUCCGGAAUUAUUGGGCGUAAAGCGCGCGCAGGCGGCCUCUUAAGUCUGAUGUGAAAAGCCCCCCGGCUCAACCGGGGGAGGGCCUUGGAAACUGGGAGGCUUGAGUAUAGGAGAGAAGAGUGGAAUUCCACGUGUAGCGGUGAAAAUGCGUAGAGAUGUGGAGGAACACCAGUGGCGAAGGCGACUCUUUUGGCCUAUAACUACGUGAGGCGCGAAAAGCGUGGGGGAGCAAAACAGGAUUUAG